AGACAAAGCAGCCCUGAGGGCUGCUGGUUGCCCAUUUUUAUGGUUAUUUUUUGAUGAUAUGCUAAACAAGGGGUGGAUUAUUCAUGCCUUCCCUUUUUAGACCAUACAGGGUAACUUCCUGAUGUUGCUGUGGCAUUUGUAAACUGUUACGGCGCUGUUGGGAAUGUAGCAGUGAGGACAACCGGAGGCCACUCUCAUGGCCAUCUUGCUUUUGGCCAACUUCUUUACUGCAAUCUGUUUUAUCAGCAAGGCCCUUAUGACCUGUAUCUUGUGCUGACCUCCUAUCUCACUCUAUGACUUAGAAUAUCUAACCUUCUGGGAAUUUAGCCCGGUAGGCCCCAGCCUCAUUUUACCCAGCCCCUACUCAAGAUGGAGUUGCUCUGGUUCAAACGCCUCUGACAAGACCACAUCAUUCUGUAAGCCAAAAGCCUCCCACACCAACACAGGGGCCCCGGUUGAUGGCAAGAGUGUCUAGAUUCCAUGUGGAACCCUCCCUCUAACAGAGCCUCGCUGCCCUUGGAUACUGACCACAAACCCAUUUGUAACCACUGGAGUGGUUCUCUGGCCACGGGAGUAGAAACUAGAAGGAGACAUGGGCCAGGAGCCAGCAUCUGUGGCCCCAGGUGCCCUCUACUCUGGGGCCAAUAACCCUGGGGAUCCUUUAAUUUAGGAACCCUGGAGGCCCAUGAACUUGAGGAUCUGCAGCCCAAGGGAUGUGUGGCUCAGGGUAUUCUCAACAUAGGGGACCCACAGUCCCCAACCCCUGCUGACCCUGGGGACCUGUGACUCCCGGCCAGUUUCUGUGAGGCCUGUGGAAGAAGAUACGUGCCACUCUGGAUCCUGGACCCCUCAUCCAGCCAGCUCCAUGGAUCCUAGGGCUGUCUCAAUCUAUCCAGAGCCCCAAAGCCACCUGCGGGCAAGCAUGCCUGUUUCUCCCUCCCUUUGGUUCCUUCCUUCUGCUCAUCCUGGUGGAGCACUCACUGGCCAGUCAGUGUCCUUGGUGCUGGGGACACAGCAAGUCCAUGAGACAGGCAAGGACCCUGCUUGGAAAGCUGCCUAUUGAGGUGCACAGAGAGAUAAGUUGAUCUUUGCUUCUCAGAGAGAGAAGAUCACAGGGUCAGGACUGAGGCAACUCGGGCUUGGAAGAAGGAGGACCACGCAGUUGAUUGGUGACCUCCAUUCAGGAACCAAUAUCCUUGUGCCCAGGGGCUGUGGGAAGGGGGAUCUAAACGCAGGCAGAGGUGCAGCAGGUCUGGAGCAGAGAGGGACGAUCAUGUCCAGAGCCCUCGCUCCCAGUGCAGCUGGAGGCUCCCUUCAUAGAAUUCCACCUGCCUGGUAAAUGCAGAAUGCAGUCCACUUAAAGAAAUCAGAGCAGCUACCACGUCAAAGCAGAAAAGAUGUGUGGAGGUGGGCGGAGAGGAGGUGGGUAAUUAUGCAGGAAAAAUAGUUUUCUUGAUAUUCUUCUGGAAAUAUGCGUGGAACAGAGGGAACAGCGGGAGAGAUGACAGGCAAGGAGAAAAUGUAUGAAUAGAGGCAUGUAUGGUGUCUCUGCAAAGGCAGACAGAGGCAGGGCUGCUUUAACCACAGCAUCCUUUUGUAGGGAGCACCUGGGACUCCAUGAGACACUUCUGCAGGUACUCAAUGUGGGACUUUAUCCACGGGUCCACUACAGGAUUUGUGGGGAAUGAUUGAGCCUUUCUUCACUCUGUAAUCCUAGCACUUAAGGAGACAGAAGUGGGAGGAUCACUUGAGGCCAGGAGUUCAAUACUAGCCUAGGCAACAAAGUGAGAUCCAGUCUCCACACACACAAAAAAAUUUUUUUUAAUUAGUCAGAAAAAAAUGAGUAGGAGGGGGGUGAGGGAUAAAAGACUACACAUUGGGUACAGUGUAGACUGCUUGGGUGAUGGGUUCAUCAAAAUCUCAGAAAUCACCACUAAAGAACUCAUCCCAUAACCAACACCAUUUGUUCCCCAAAAACCUAUGGAAAUUUUAGAAGAAAAUAGCCAGGUGUGGUGGCAUGCGUCUGUGGUCCCAGCUACUCCGGAGGUUGAGGUGGGGGGAUCGCUUAAGCCCAGGAGUUCAAGGCUACAGUGAGCAAUGAUCAUGCCGCUGUACUCCAGCCUGCAUCACAGAGCAGGACUCUGUUGAGAGAGAGAGCACGCCAGUAUCUCCCCAUGCCACCUCUAUGCCCCCUUAGGAAUCUGUGCACAGAACCCAUGUACUCUGCAUGCCCAAGUAGCAGAGAGGCACCCCAAACUCUGAGAAGCAGCUCCGAGGUUGUGAACAUUGAAUGCAGAUAAUUAUCCAGCUGUGAGGAAGAUGAACAUUUCUUAGGGCUAUUUCUGCAUAAUUAUAAAUAUUUGAGAAUAUUAAACUCCCAGGUUACAUAUUGAGGGUAUUGUUUGUGUAGCAGUUGGCUGCAGAGCUGGAAACACAAACAUCUUUUCAUUCCUCCCUCCUGGUGUACUCAGGAUAUGUUAUGGGAUUCAAAAGAUAAAGCUGCAGUUGAGAAAAAAAAAAAAAAAAAGCACCAACAACCUGGAAGCAAAGUCAGUUGCUAAUAUUUCUAAAUAGUUUUAAAUCAAAGAGGAGGAAUGUGACCACUUUAGUUAAUUGUGCUGGGUUCAUUGUGAUGCAUUUUCUUUAUGGUUUAGGAAAGCAAUUACCACGAAACAACCUACUUGUGCCUCCGAUGUGAUAAAAUGUUUCCUCUAACCGGGCGACAUGCCCAGCAGUAGGCCUUUACAAACACUCAGUGCUUCAGGAGGCAUUUUCACAUGUGGGGCCCCUUGGGGUGCAGUAACAGCCCAUGACUCACUCCCUAGGGACCUGUCACAGUGCAGGAGGUUUUUUUUUUUUGAGAUGGAUUUUUGCUCUUGUCGAACAGGCUGGAGUACGAAAGUGCGAUCUUGGCUCACUGUAACCUCCACCUCCUGAGUUCAAGCGAUUCUUCUGCCUCAGCCUCUUGCAUAGUUGGGAUUACAGGUGCCCGUAACCACGCCUGGCUAAUUUUUGUAUUUUUAGUAGAGACGGAGGAGUUUGCCAUGUUAGCCAGGCUGGUCUCGAACUCCUGACCUCAGGUGAUCCACCUGCCUCUGCCUCCCAAAGUUCUGGGAUUAAGGCAUGAGCCACUGUGCCAUGGGGUUCUUAAUAGGAGAUGGGUCUUUCCAAGCAGAAGCUGGUGUCUGGUCUGUGAGUGGAGGCUCUGCUGCCCUGGUUCUGUCCAGAGUCCCAUGUGGGGAGCCCAGGGUCCUGUCCAGACUCCCACCCUCACACUCUUGGUCACCCCAUCUUGUCCUCCCACCCACUGAAGUCUAUCUUCUCACCCACUCCCCAUGUGCUGUCCUCCAUACCCUGGAAAGCAGGGACCAUCUGUUACAGACACAGCCUCUCUUUUCAUCUCCUGCUUUGCAGGUGUCCCCUGCUGGCCACAGCUUCCCCACAUCCCCUGGGAGUUGCUGUCCCUUCUCCAGACCCCUCAAUAUCCCUGGAAACCAUUCCUCAAUGGGUGCCUUUGAACAAUCCCAGCCCCCUCUCACCCCCUCCCUGCUGCCCCAGUUUUUGAGACUCCUGUUUGCUGUUCUCUCUUCCCAGCCCUUGCUCUGGGGCUUAGCUCACCUUUUCUCUCCCCACCUUUUUCCCAGACUGGAGUGCAGUGGCACAAUCUUGGCUCACUGCAACCUCUGCUUCCCAGGCUUGAACCAUCCUCCUACCUCAGCUUCCCAAGUAGAUGGGACCACAGGUGUGCACCAUGUUGCUUCACACCCGGCUCAUUUUUUGUAGAGAUGGAGUCUCACUGCAUUGCCCAGGCUAGUCUUGGACUCCUGGGCUCCAGCCAUCUGCCAGCUUCGGCCUCCCAAAGUGUUGGGAUUACAGGCGUGAGCCACUGUGCCCAGUCUUCCCCGCCACCCCUCCCCACUGCUUUUUUGUUUUAAGAGACAGAGUCUCACUCUGUGACUCAGGCUGGGGCCCAGUGGCAUGAUCAUGGCUUACUGCAGCCUUGAACUCCUGGCCUCCAGUAAUCCUCCCACCUUAGCCCCCCAAAGCACUGGGAUUACAGGCACACACCCAGACCCUUUCCCAACUCAAGGACUUGCCUUCAUCUUGGGUAACUGUGAUGGGUAAGAAUGACCAAUGUCACUGUCCAUGUCACCAGCUUCCUUGGUCGCUCUCCAUUCCCUGCCACAUCCAAGUUGCCAUGUCCAGCCCUGUACAGUCUUGGCCUUUAGGAUGAUACCUCUGCACACCUAGCACCCUGUGUCUCCCUCACCUUUGGCCACUACAAGAGGCCUCUGGUCUGCAGCCCCAAGGAUUUUUUUGUCCAUUUCUGGCUGGACUCUGUGGCCAUCCCUUUGCCUCCCUGUCAGGCUCCUGAACCCCAUGGUCUCCAUCCAUCUGUCACCCAUGAUGCUGUUGUCUAAGGGCUCUGCCUGGUGGGGA